rnacentral:lncRNA from 1 species
GGAAGAAGAAGCAAACAUAGAAAUAGAAAGAAACAACGAAAAAUACGAAUCAACAGAUGAUUUUAAUUAUAUACAAAAGUAUAUAACAUCAAUUUUUGAUACAAAAACUAGUGAAGAAUCGUUAAGCUCAAACGAAGAUAUAAUGAAACGUAUUAAUGGAAGUGAUGGAAGUGAUGAAAGCGAGGUAUAUAUGUUGAAUUGUCGUACACAAAACAACAAUUCAAAUGUUGAAUGGGAAUUAAAUAAUACAUACGAAUACGAUACUACUGGUAAUGAAAAUAAUAAAACAUUGUUAUCUGUUUUGUUAAAUAAACAGCCAUAUCUAAGAGAACAUUAUAAUUUAUUAAAUAUGAAAACUAAAAUAAGUAAUGUAAAUAAUAUGAAUUUAAAAAAAUCACACACAAAUAGUAGUUUGAUGAAUUACAAUAUUUUUAAUAAUAAAAAUGCAUUUGAACAAUUUCAUUCAUUUGAUGGAAGUAACCAUAUAAAUUCAGCGGUUAAAAAGACAGAAUUUUUCAAAAACUCUAAAAAAAAUAAUUCGAAAAAUAAUAUUAUAAACAAUAACUUUUCUAAAGUAAAUGAACUUUUAAUUAAUGAUGAUGUAAGCAAAAACAAUAUAAAUAAUUUAAAUAGUAGCAAAAAUUUGGAACAUUUUUUAUCAAAUUCAAAUGAGGAAGACAUUGAACAAAAACAUAAAGAAGAAAAAGACGAUAAAAAUAUGAUCGAAAAUCAGGUAAUAAACACCAUCGAUGAUAUGAAAAAAAUAAAUAAUAUGAACAUAUUAAUAGAUGAUAGUAAUGUUAAUAAACAAGGAAUAAGUAAUUAUGUUGAAGAACAUGAACUAUUUGACAAUACUGACAAUAAAUCUUAUAAAAGAAUAGAAUAUAAUGACGACAUUUACAAUCUUAAUUUUGAAAUUAAGAAUAUAAAUUCCGGUUUUAGCAACCUUAACCAAAACAAUUUAUUAAAUAAUAAUUCAAAUGAAAUUCAUGUACAUAAUUCAAAAAGUGAUAAGGAUAACAUUUUAAAAAGUUUAAAUAAUUUUACAAUAAACAAAGAUAAUUUACAUUUUAUUUCAAAUUUGAAAGAAACUAUAAAUACUACAAAUAAUGAUAGUGGUAGUAAUAGUAGCAAUAUUAACGGUAUUAACUCUCUUAAACUAAUUCAUAACAUAUAUGAAAACUGUAAAUAUGAAAACUAUAAUAGAAAUAAUAACAAAAUUGAUAAUUAUAAAUAUAAUAAUAAAUUGAAUGAUGAACAAUAUACAUAUACUAAUUCAGACACAAAUAUUCAAAAUAUGAAUGAAAUGCACCAUGAAGAGAUAAAUAAAGAUGGUAAUAUUUUAUUAAAUGGUAAAGCUAAUAUAGAUAAUUAUACAAACAUACAUUUAAUGAAUACUUAUACAAAUGAUAAAAAAUUAAAAGAAAAGAAAUUAAAUAGUUUAACUAAUAAUAAUAACAUCUCUUGUGAUACAUAUUUAGAUGUAAAUAAUUAUUUUGAUAUUGAUAGGAAUGUUAUAAAAAAUUACAAUACUCUACUAAAUAAAAUUAUAAAUCAAGAAAAGGGACAUUCUGAUAAUAAUAAAAAUUAUAAUAUAAAAUUAAAUGAAAAAAAUCCCAACUUUUGUUUCCCAAAUCACUUGCGCUCUUCAGAUAAUAAUACUUAUCCAGACGUAUCGAAUAAAAGCUUAUAUCAAAAUAAUAACAUGAAUUUAAAUAAUGUUAUUAAUAAUAUUAGUAACAAUAAUGUUAUGAAUAAUAGUAAUAGUAGUCAUAAUAAUAACGACUUAUUUACACAUCAACAAACAUUUACACAUUUAAAUGGAAAAAAUCAGAAACACGAGAUGAAUACUGUAAACAAAGAUAUUUACAAUUAUAUUAGAAAAUACUCCGAUAAUAUUGAAAGAACUAAUGGAUAUAAUAAUAGGUAUGAGCAAAACGCGGAUAUUGAACAGGGAUUAAAGUUAAAAGAGUUGGAAAAUAAUAUAAUAGAACAAAAUAUUAGUAUAAAUUCGAUAGAGAAAUGUAUGAAUUUAAACAAAUCAAACUGUUAUGAUACAACAGUAAGUAGUAAUAAAAACAGUUUUCUAAUAAAUAAUUCAUUUCAUAAUACAUUUUAUGACGGUAAUAGCAUUAGUGCCGGUACUGCUACAACUAGCAAUAGUAAGUGUGAAAACGGCGGAAAACAUAAGUUGUUGAAAGAUAAGAUAAAAUAUUUAUUAGAAAAUGAAAAUGAUGAUGUUUUACUAAGUAAACAUAUUUUAAAUACCUUAGAUGAACAUUAUAAAAAUAUAUAUAACAGACAUGAAAAUAGUUAUACAGAUAAUUGUGAGGACUUAAGAACGAUUGAAAAUGGUAGAUUUGCAGAAAAUGAAGACACAAACAAUAAUUCAACAUACAGAAAUAUGAGAAACAAUAUACACAAUAGUAAUUCGAUGAUGGGUGGUAAUUGUUCUAUUGGAAAUGGAGACAUAUUACAACAAAAUACUGAAGACUAUACUAACAAAAUAAAGGAGAUGGAAAAUAAUGAUAUAUUAAAUAAUGAUAUAUUAAACAAUGGUGUACUAAAUAAUAAUGUAUUAAAUAAUGAUGUAUUAAAUAAUGAUAUAUUAGAUAAUGGUGUUUUACAUUUAAUUUAUAACAAGGCCAAGAGUGAAAUGUAUAACAAACACGAGGGAACUUAUGAAAAAGAAGAAGAUAGUUUUUUAAAAAAAGUAACAUUUGGAGAUGCAAUAACUGAUGAUGAAAAUGUUACCAGUAUAUUUAACCAAAAUAAUAAUAAUAUUAAUAAUAAUAGUAAUAAUAAUAGUAAUAAUAAUAUUAAUAAUAAUAAUAGUAAUAAUAAUAUUAAUAAUAAUAUUAAUAAUAAUAGUAAUAAUAAUAGUAAUAAUAAUAAUAAUAACAUAAAUCAGAAUAAUUUUGGAAUAAAUGAACAUAGAAAUGACUAUAAAAUUAAUAAUAGUAGUAAUAACGGUAGUAUCAAGCACAAUAACACCUAUCGUAAUAAAUACGAUAUUAAUAAUGCACUGUUAGAGUAUUAUUUAAAACAUUAUAACGAAUUAAGCAUAAAUAGUAACAAAGAGCAAGAGAAUUUAGAUUUAGAAGAAUUAAAGUUUUCUUCAAAUUUGAAUAGGAACUGUAAAAGUAGUGAUUAUAACCAUAAACAUCGUUUAAUAACUAAUACCAGUAAUAAUGGGAAUAUUAAUAAGUAUAAUACAAAUAUUUUUAGUAGUAAUUAUAUUAAGAAUGGUAUUGAUAAAUGUGAUAAAAAUUAUGUUAUUAAUAAUAAAUUACACAACAAUAAUGUAAUUUCAAACGCAAUUAGUUUAGGAAUGAAUAAUGAAAAUGACAAUAAGACUAAUAUACUUGAACAAGUUAUCAAUGAAUCGAACAAAACAGAUAUGUUUAUAAGUAAUAACUUAAAACACAAAUAUAAAACUGAAGGAUACAAUAAUUUUUGUUUCAAUAAAAUUAAUACAUAUGUUAAAAGUAAAACUUGUGUAAAUAAUAACAAUAGAAAUGACAUGACAA